AUCGCACUCAUUCAACUCAUUUGAAGUUGAUUAUCAUUGUUUCAAUUCAAAAGUGCAGAUCGAAGAAAAAAAAAACGAAGAAGAAGAUGAACGACGAAAAUAAUUGGGUUGAAUCAAUCCAGAUCCAUAAUGCAGAGAAGAAAAACGCGAAAGAGGAGAACAACGAAUUUAAUUAGGUUGAAGAAGAAGAAGAAGAAAGAGGUUUACGUUGUAUAAAAAAGUUUACGUUGAUAACGCAAAAUAAGGAUUCGUUAUAUAGGUUAUAAGAGGCGUGUGUAAAACAAACAGAGUGUGGGAGCGUGGAGUGAAAAUUACUUGGAUACCAUUCAUGUAAUUUUUACAUGGAAGUAGAGCUUUUUCAAAAAAAAAAAUUUAAAAAUCAAAAUUACUAACCCACCAACCCCAACCCUAACACUAACAGCCUAAACCCACUCUCACCCCCACAUCCGAUAAGAGAGAGCAGCCACUCACCGCCAUCUUCUCCAUCGCCGAACUACUCUCCGUCGACCGGAGGGUUCCGUCGCUGCCGGCAUUGUCAUAGAAGCCUCACGUCACUGCCGAACUAGCCUCACCCUGGCCUCCUACUCCUCUCCAUCGGCUAGCUCCGCAGUUGCCGGCGUCGCCUCAUCUCUGCUCCCGGUCACUAGCUCAUGUCGUCGUCGCUAUGUCGUCGUGCUGCACUUAUCUUGUUUGCAGCAAGACUUUCAGGCAAUUUCGGUGCACUGAUGCCUGAUGGUUGUCUGGUUCUGUGGAAUU